GGCAGGGUGGCCGAGAGGCAAGGCAGCCGAUUUAUAACCGGCAGUCCCGAACCAGCUUUCUCAGGGCGAGGAUUCGGGCGCGGGUUCGACCCCCGCCCCUGCCG
rnacentral:tRNA from 1 species